rnacentral:rRNA from 1 species
GAACGCUGGCGGCGUGCCUAACACAUGCAAGUCGAACGAAGAGGUCCCUUCGGGGAUACUUCAGUGGCGGACGGGUGAGUAACACGUAGGUGACCUGCCCCGAAGUGUGGAAUAACAGUCCGAAAGGAUUGCUAAUACCGCAUGUGGUCUGUGAGGUUAGAGUCUUGCAGACUAAAGCAGUAAUGUGCUUCGGGAGGGGCCUGCGCCCCAUCAGCUUGUUGGUAGGGUAAUGGCCUACCAAGGCAACAACGGGUAGGGGGCCUGAGAGGGUGACCCCCCACAUUGGCACUGACACACGGGCCAAACUCCUACGGGAGGCAGCAGUGAGGAAUAUUGCUCAAUGGGCGAAAGCCUGAGGCAGCAACGCCGCGUGCGCGAUGAAGGCCUUCGGGUCGUAAAGCGCUUUUGAGAGGGACGAGAUAGGACGGUACCUCUCGAAUAAGUCACGGCUAACUACGUGCCAGCAGUCGCGGUAAAACGUAGGUGGCAAGCGUUAUCCGGAUUCACUGGGCGUAAAGCGCGUGCAGGUGGCUUCGUAAGUUGGACGUUAAAUCUCCCGGCCUAACCGGGAGGAGUCGUUCAAUACUGCGGGGCUGGAGGGCAGAAGAGGGGGGUGGAAUUGCUGGUGUAGUGGUGAAAUGCGUAGAUAUCAGCAGGAACACCUGUGGCGAAAGCGGCCCCCUGGUCUGCUCCUGACACUCAGACGCGAAAGCUAGGGGAGUGAACGGGAUUAGAAACCCCGGUAAUCCUAGCUGUAAACGAUGGAUGCUAGGUGUGGGUGGUAUUGACCCCAUCCGUGCCGAAGCCAACGCGUUAAGCAUCCCGCCUGGGGACUACGGCCGCCAGGUUAAAACUCAAAU